GUCAACUUGUUUAAAUAUGAUAUUUCCUCUAUGGAUUUCUUGGUGUUAUUGAUAGAGGAUAAGGAAUUGGUCGAAAAUCCUAUGAUUGAUGCUUGGUUGCUGAAGAAUAGAAAAAGUCCCUGGGUUGGGAAGAAAGAAGGGUUACAGGGAUGUUGGAUCUUUUAUUGAACUCACUCCUGAUGCAUCUGAAGUGGUAAGCCAUUGUAUCUAGUAGUUUUGGAGGAAACGAGACUCAAACAAAAAGCAAACACACGGAGAGUUGUUGGCAGAUAGUAAGCUAGAUAAUGCAAUUGUAUAUUCUGCUUCUCUUGAGUUCAUUUUUUUAUAACAUUUACUCACUAUUGGAAUAAUUAUUUGUAUUUGACAUAUUAGUGAAAUGAAUUAUCUUUGUUAUUUAUGGUA